rnacentral:rRNA from 1 species
AGCUCCAAUAGCGUAUAUUAAAGUUGUUGCAGUUAAAAAGCUCGUAGUUGGAUCUCGGAUCUAGGCUUGCGGUUCUGCUCGUGCAGAUACUGUUAGUCCUAAUCUACCUGCCGGUGUUCCCCUGGUGCCCUUAACUGGGUGUCUCGGGUGGCCGGAACGUUUACUUUGAAAAAAUUAGAGUGUUCAAAGCAGGCGCUACGCCUGAAUAAUGGUGCAUGGAAUAAUAGAAAAGGACCUCGGUUCUAUUUUGUUGGUUUUCGGAACUUGAGGUAAUGAUUAAGAGGGACAGACGGGGGCAUUCGUAUUACGGUGUUAGAGGUGAAAUUCUUGGAUCGCCGUAAGACGAACUACUGCGAAAGCAUUUGCCAAGAAUGUUUUCA